rnacentral:lncRNA from 1 species
AUGAAAAAAAAGCAUGUACAAUCUGCAACCUUAUCAUUCUCUUUAAACUCUUUCUCUCUCGAAAUUUAAACAACCAGUUCACUUUCGCCACUGCCUAUGACAUGACCACCACCAUCAUCGAUUCCGGCGAGAGAGAGAGAGAAGUGAUCGUUCUUGGUCUGUGAAGACAGAUCUGAUCGUUCUUGGCCGGAACUAAACAGUGAACCUCUGUUCUACAGAUCUGAUGUGGCCAUUUCGUGAUAUGACCACCACCAUCAUCGAUUCCGGCGCGCGUGAGAGAGAGAAGGGGGAAGUGGACUGUUACCGGUGGGUGGGAGCUGUUACCGGAGAAGGGGGAUUUAGGGCUUUUAAUUAGCCCUUAGGAUCAGUCGGUACAAAUUUUGAGGCAGUGAAAUGUUGGCGGUGGGGGAGUGGCAGGGGUUGGUGGCU